UUAGUUUAUUUCAACACGCAGUUAGAGAGCACAAGAAUCUGUCCAAAGGAGGAUUUCAAAGGCAAAUAAGACACACUUCCUGACCUUACAAAAUGCAGAUUAUGAUAACUCAAGGAAAGAAAUAAAUUAUAGAAGAUGCUAAAAUACAGUUGAGACUGUUGGAAAGGCAGGAAUGAGAAGCGUUCCACUCGGACCCUGAAGAGCUUGAGAGUGAGUAAUCUGUGAGCCUGGGCAUGAGAGGGGGUGAGGUUUCAACAGAUGAAGUGAACGGAGCAGCGUGGAGAGACUGGAGGGCCUGCACCUUUCCUUCCCUUUGGAACCUUCAUUUAUUAUUUCAAGAACAAGGAUCUCUAUAAAAACAUUACCUUAAUCCAGAGUAAAUUGUUCCCAAAAUGGGCAGAGCAGCUCCCUAAGAAGCUAAGAGGUGCAGGUCGCCACUUUAAGGGACAAUUUCUAUACAACUUACAGAAGACUAUAACUUCAUAAGCUGGCCCUAGAUCUGAAGAGUAAUGUGAUUCCUAAAGUUUGGAAGAAACAGAGGACGAAUGUUCCUAAAACGAGAUUGUUACCCACUUGAUCUUAAGGCCUCUCCAACUUGAGAUCUCAGCAUCUCCACUGCCACCUUGAGAGUCAGAGUAGUGGUAGAGAGUGCUGACCCUGACGGUGUGAAUCCAUGGCAACCUAAAAUUUCAC
rnacentral:lncRNA from 1 species